CGGCUCCUUCAGCACCUGUCUUACUCACCUGAAUGACAAACAAACAGAGUUUGAGUUUAAAAGGCUGUUUACAUAAAUUCCAAUGAUGCCUGAUGCUUGGACCAAAUUAUGUGAGACAGUUAAUUAUACCAAAUGCUUCUGAUGACAGACUGGUUCAGGAAAAACAACUCGAGGCAGUGUGUAAUGAGAUCGCUUCACUGGUGGGCACUCUCUUGUGAGGCUGAAGGAUGUCAGAGUCUCUACAGCACCUUCUCGCUCCCGGCCAGAUCCACCAGGUAUUUUCCCAGAUUGCUCAGUGACUCAGCAACUCGCAACUGAAUACAGAUGAGCAACGUCGUCAUUCGUCCGAUCAGAAUGCGGCGAAACGACACGGAUGGGCACGUGUGUAUG